GACGAACCUUUGCGGCGUGCCUAAUACAUGCAAGUAGAACGCUGAAGAGAGGAGCUUGCUCUUCUUGGAUGAGUUGCGAACGGGUGAGUAACGCGUAGGUAACCUGCCUUGUAGCGGGGGAUAACUAUUGGAAACGAUAGCUAAUACCGCAUAACAAUGGAUGACACAUGUCAUUUAUUUGAAAGGGGCAAUUGCUCCACUACAAGAUGGACCUGCGUUGUAUUAGCUAGUAGGUGAGGUAAUGGCUCACCUAGGCGACGAUACAUAGCCGACCUGAGAGGGUGAUCGGCCACACUGGGACUGAGACACGGCCCAGACUCCUACGGGAGGCAGCAGUAGGGAAUCUUCGGCAAUGGGGGCAACCCUGACCGAGCAACGCCGCGUGAGUGAAGAAGGUUUUCGGAUCGUAAAGCUCUGUUGUAAGUCAAGAACGGGUGUGAGAGUGGAAAGUUCACACUGUGACGGUAGCUUACCAGAAAGGGACGGCUAACUACGUGCCAGCAGCCGCGGUAAUACGUAGGUCCCGAGCGUUGUCCGGAUUUAUUGGGCGUAAAGCGAGCGCAGGCGGUUUGAUAAGUCUGAAGUUAAAGGCUGUGGCUCAACCAUAGUUCGCUUUGGAAACUGUCAAACUUGAGUGCAGAAGGGGAGAGUGGAAUUCCAUGUGUAGCGGUGAAAUGCGUAGAUAUAUGGAGGAACACCGGUGGCGAAAGCGGCUCUCUGGUCUGUAACUGACGCUGAGGCUCGAAAGCGUGGGGAGCGAACAGGGUUAGAUACCCUGGUAGUCCACGCCGUAAACGAUGAGUGCUAGGUGUUGGAUCCUUUCCGGGAUUCAGUGCCGCAGCUAACGCAUUAAGCACUCCGCCUGGGGAGUACGACCGCAAGGUUGAAACUCAAAGGAAUUGACGGGGGCCCGCACAAGCGGUGGAGCAUGUGGUUUAAUUCGAAGCAACGCGAAGAACCUUACCAGGUCUUGACAUCCCGAUGCUAUUUCUAGAGAUAGAAAGUUACUUCGGUACAUCGGUGACAGGUGGUGCAUGGUUGUCGUCAGCUCGUGUCGUGAGAUGUUGGGUUAAGUCCCGCAACGAGCGCAACCCCUAUUGUUAGUUGCCAUCAUUCAGUUGGGCACUCUAGCGAGACUGCCGGUAAUAAACCGGAGGAAGGUGGGGAUGACGUCAAAUCAUCAUGCCCCUUAUGACCUGGGCUACACACGUGCUACAAUGGUUGGUACAACGAGUUGCGAGUCGGUGACGGCGAGCUAAUCUCUUAAAGCCAAUCUCAGUUCGGAUUGUAGGCUGCAACUCGCCUACAUGAAGUCGGAAUCGCUAGUAAUCGCGGAUCAGCACGCCGCGGUGAAUACGUUCCCGGGCCU
rnacentral:rRNA from 1 species